CGAUAAGGCGUCCAGGGCAUGUAGUAGAUCUUGUCAGAUGCCUGCAGCGGGUCUUUGCACCAGGCACCAGACUGGUGGUCGGAUUCAAACAGGUGUUCGCUCUGGUAUACUCCUUUCAGCAGUCCAGGGCAAAGGAAAAUGUAAGGGACACAUUCAUACUGAACCUCCAGGUAUUUGUACGUCCCAGGGCAAGGGUCUGGAAACACAUCAGGGCCAGCCACAACAGCACAUUGGGUCCGAUUACUGCAUCUUUGAGUCAUAAUCUUAUAGGCAUCUGGCAGAUAACAGCGGAUAUUCUCCAUCUGAGCAGGAUCAGAGUCACAGAUUUUAUCAUCAGUCCUCCCGUAGUUGGCACUUUCAAUCAUGAUAACAUCUGUUCCCG
rnacentral:lncRNA from 1 species